UACUGGAAACGGUAGCUAAUACCGCAUAACGUCGCAAGACCAAAGUGGGGGACCUUCGGGCCUCACACCAUCGGAUGAACCCAGAUGGGAUUAGCUAGUAGGUGGGGUAAUGGCUCACCUAGGCGACGAUCCCUAGCUGGUCUGAGAGGAUGACCAGCCACACUGGAACUGAGACACGGUCCAGACUCCUACGGGAGGCAGCAGUGGGGAAUAUUGCACAAUGGGGGAAACCCUGAUGCAGCCAUGCCGCGUGUGUGAAGAAGGCCUUCGGGUUGUAAAGCACUUUCAGCGGGGAGGAAGGCGGUGGCGUUAAUAGCGCUAUCGAUUGACGUUACCCGCAGAAGAAGCACCGGCUAACUCCGUGCCAGCAGCCGCGGUAAUACGGAGGGUGCGAGCGUUAAUCGGAAUUACUGGGCGUAAAGCGUACGCAGGCGGUCUGUUAAGUCAGAUGUGAAAUCCCCGGGCUUAACCUGGGAACUGCAUUUGAAACUGGCAGGCUAGAGUCUCGUAGAGGGGGGUAGAAUUCCAGGUGUAGCGGUGAAAUGCGUAAAGAUCUGGAGGAAUACCGGUGGCGAAGGCGGCCCCCUGGACGAAGACUGACGCUCAGGUACGAAAGCGUGGGGAGCAAACAGGAUUAGAUACCCUGGUAGUCCACGCUGUAAACGAUGUCGAUUUGAAGGUUGUGGCCUUGAGCCGUGGCUUUCGGAGCUAACGCGUUAAAUCGACCGCCUGGGGAGUACGGCCGCAAGGUUAAAACUCAAAUGAAUUGACGGGGGCCCGCACAAGCGGUGGAGCAUGUGGUUUAAUUCGAUGCAACGCGAAGAACCUUACCUACUCUUGACAUCCAGAGAACAUGGCAGAGAUGCCCUGGUGCCUUCGGGAACUCUGAGACAGGUGCUGCAUGGCUGUCGUCAGCUCGUGUUGUGAAAUGUUGGGUUAAGUCCCGCAACGAGCGCAACCCUUAUCCUUUGUUGCCAGCGAUUCGGUCGGGAACUCAAAGGAGACUGCCGGUGAUAAACCGGAGGAAGGUGGGGAUGAGGUCAAGUCAUCAUGGCCCUUACGAGUAGGGCUACACACGUGCUACAAUGGCGCAUACAAAGAGAAGCGAUCUCGCGAGAGUCAGCGGACCUCAUAAAGUGCGUCGUAGUCCGGAUUGGAGUCUGCAACUCGACUCCAUGAAGUCGGAAUCGCUAGUAAUCGUGGAUCAGAAU
rnacentral:rRNA from 1 species